AAGCCUGCCAUGGAUGCUAUCUAUUGGUCUCUGAAGGAAGGAUGUCUCUGCCAGAGGAACAGCCACGUGAAGGCUCAUGGGCAGAGGAUCAAGUCCAGCUUGAGUAUGAGAUGCGGUCAGAAAUGGGUCUGGAGAAGUCCUGGAGGCUAAAUUUUGAGAGCCUCUAAGUCACAUCAAGUGUGACUUUUAUUAGGAAGACAACUGGGACCACUGAAGCCACCUAAGCUGCCAAGCAAUAUACUUAAGAUCUUCUCAGUGGAGAAGAGACUGAAUGCAUGAGAAGAGGCUGGGUGGAGGGAGGUCUAACCUAGAUUUGGAGAAAACUGGGAUGAUCAAGGCCAGCUGAGAGGUUGCCGUAUCAAGACCUGGGACUAAAUUGUUCUCUCUCUGAUUUCUUCAUGCUCACCCCAUGUGUAUGUGUCUAUGUCUGUGUUUGUAUGUCUCUGUGUGUGCACAUGUAUGUGAGUUCAUGAUGGCCAGAAAACAACACUGUGUGUCAUCUUCAGGAAUGCUGAUGUUCACCUCCUUUGAGACAGGCUCUCUCAUUAGCCUGGAACUCACCAGCUGGUCCAGGUGAUACCUGGUCAAUGAGCCCCAGGUUCUGGGAUUACAAACAUAUGGCGCCAUGCCUGAAAUAGUUUGUUUUCUUUUAUCUCACAUAUUUGAAUGUUUUGUUUUCAUGUUUGUAUGUGCACCAUGCCUUAAGUGUCCACAAAGACCAGAAGAGGGCCUCAGAUCCCCUGGAACCAGAUUUACAGGCCGUUGGGAGACACCAUGUGCUGGGAACUGAACCCGGCUCCUCUGAAAAGGCAAUGAGAAGCCUAGAGUGGAUGGUAUCUGGACUUGACCACAAAGAUACAAACAGGGUUGUUCCUGGACACACUGUGAGCAUUUGUUUCCCACACCUGUCCCAUGCAGACAUCAUCAGCUCCACACCUGUUCCAUGCAGACAUCAGCUGGGAUCCUGGGUCCCAGAAU